GGAGAACCUGAUGGAAUCAUGCAACUGGUCAAUGCAAAGCAAAUGGAUGCUGAUCUUCCAAGAUUUGGAAACAGGAGAUGUAUGCAACAGGACAUGGUGGACAUGGUGGAAACAGCAGGUGGACCCAAUAGGACAUGGUGGAUACAACUGGAGGACAAUGCCUGAUGGAUGUUGAUUUUUCCUCCAAGACAUAUACCACAGUGAAUAAAUGACACUGAUGAGUGUGAAGAUUUGGAGACCAUAGUAAGUCAAGGUACUAAUGAGUUGAUUUUAUGUGGAUUUGCUGGGUUGACAUUUUCAAGGAUUGGGACCCUUCAGAAAAUAAUCGAAUCAAGAAAGUUUUCAAAGUGCACAUCCUUGAGAUCAUGCAUAGAGAAGCAGCAGAUAAUGCAGAUAUA